rnacentral:rRNA from 1 species
GAUAAACGCUGGCGGCGUGCCUAAUACAUGCAAGUCGAGCGAACGGACGAGAAGCUUGCUUCUCUGAUGUUAGCGGCGGACGGGUGAGUAACACGUGGAUAACCUACCUAUAAGACUGGGAUAACUUCGGGAAACCGGAGCUAAUACCGGAUAAUAUUUUGAACCGCAUGGUUCAAAAGUGAAAGACGGUCUUGCUGUCACUUAUAGAUGGAUCCGCGCUGCAUUAGCUAGUUGGUAAGGUAACGGCUUACCAAGGCAACGAUGCAUAGCCGACCUGAGAGGGUGAUCGGCCACACUGGAACUGAGACACGGUCCAGACUCCUACGGGAGGCAGCAGUAGGGAAUCUUCCGCAAUGGGCGAAAGCCUGACGGAGCAACGCCGCGUGAGUGAUGAAGGUCUUCGGAUCGUAAAACUCUGUUAUUAGGGAAGAACAUAUGUGUAAGUAACUGUGCACAUCUUGACGGUACCUAAUCAGAAAGCCACGGCUAACUACGUGCCAGCAGCCGCGGUAAUACGUAGGUGGCAAGCGUUAUCCGGAAUUAUUGGGCGUAAAGCGCGCGUAGGCGGUUUUUUAAGUCUGAUGUGAAAGCCCACGGCUCAACCGUGGAGGGUCAUUGGAAACUGGAAAACUUGAGUGCAGAAGAGGAAAGUGGAAUUCCAUGUGUAGCGGUGAAAUGCGCAGAGAUAUGGAGGAACACCAGUGGCGAAGGCGACUUUCUGGUCUGUAACUGACGCUGAUGUGCGAAAGCGUGGGGAUCAAACAGGAUUAGAUACCCUGGUAGUCCACGCCGUAAACGAUGAGUGCUAAGUGUUAGGGGGUUUCCGCCCCUUAGUGCUGCAGCUAACGCAUUAAGCACUCCGCCUGGGGAGUACGACCGCAAGGUUGAAACUCAAAGGAAUUGACGGGGACCCGCACAAGCGGUGGAGCAUGUGGUUUAAUUCGAAGCAACGCGAAGAACCUUACCAAAUCUUGACAUCCUUUGACAACUCUAGAGAUAGAGCCUUCCCCUUCGGGGGACAAAGUGACAGGUGGUGCAUGGUUGUCGUCAGCUCGUGUCGUGAGAUGUUGGGUUAAGUCCCGCAACGAGCGCAACCCUUAAGCUUAGUUGCCAUCAUUAAGUUGGGCACUCUAAGUUGACUGCCGGUGACAAACCGGAGGAAGGUGGGGAUGACGUCAAAUCAUCAUGCCCCUUAUGAUUUGGGCUACACACGUGCUACAAUGGACAAUACAAAGGGCAGCGAAACCGCGAGGUCAAGCAAAUCCCAUAAAGUUGUUCUCAGUUCGGAUUGUAGUCUGCAACUCGACUACAUGAAGCUGGAAUCGCUAGUAAUCGUAGAUCAGCGUGCUACGGGAACUACAUGGCCGGGUC